UCUAUUAUGGCAGAAUUAUGCAAUGAACUUAAGAUUCAAAGAUAAAGUUUAACUUUUUUUAGAA
rnacentral:tRNA from 1 species